rnacentral:lncRNA from 1 species
GGUCUCGUAAGACCUAUAUAAGGCAACAACAAUAUCUGUAAGUCCUCAAGCAAGGUAUGAACCACACUUGUACCAAGUGACAAUAGCUGUAAGACCUCAAACAAGGCAUGAAUCAUAUUUGUACCAAGUUUCCAAUACUGUAAGACCUCAAAGGCAUGCAAAACUUGUAAGACCUUAUUAAAUGCAUAAACUCGAUCUCAAAGUUAAGGCUAUAUAUCGAACUUGUAAGACCCCUAAAAAGACAUACCCUUGAUAUAGAUGCCGAAACUACUUCACUCGGGACUGAAAGGCUCCAGCCAAACACAAAUGACUAUGGUCACAAGGCUGUAUGAGCCAAACUAAUGUGACUCGAGGACGCCUGACCGCCGCUAUAAAAUCACAGGCCUUCAAUUACUUCGAAUAUACUUCUAAAAGAACCGGUUAAACAGGCUACCCUCGACACAGGCAAAAGAGCUUCGACCAUGUUAGCUCCAACUAUAAGGCUUCGAGAUACUUAGCUAUCGAGCCAAACCUCCCGAGGUGCUCGAUCAUCGCCAUAUAAUGACUUACAAUCGAGGUCCUUAUCGAACCGUGAAGAGUCAGGCAAACACAAUUUCAAAAAAGUCCUUAACGAGGGAAAAAUAAAGCCUAUAAGAAGUCGUACUGACCCAACACGUAAGAGCCUCUAUCGCUAGACCAUAUAAGAGGUCGUACUGACCCAAUGCAUAAGAGCCACUGUCGCCAGCCCAUAUAAGAGGUCGUAUCGACCCAAUGCGUCAGAGCCAUUAUCGCCAGCACAUACAAAAGGUCGUACAAACCCAACACAUAAAAGCCUAAAGGCCAGCUUUAAAUUCAAAAACUUGAGGGUCGAACGAGCUCGAGUUGAAACCCGAUUCGGAGAUUGAACCCAAAACAGCUAACUAAAUAUUCCUAAGAGCAAAAGCAUAAGAGCUCAAAACACUGGCUUACACUAAAAGGUCGUACCGACCAAGUGCGUAAGAGCCUGCAGGCCAGCCCAAUGAGCCCCAGAGCCAUAAUAUGAAUCUGAGGGCUCCUUUUUAACUCAAGGACCAGUUCAUCUGGCUAAAAUUAAAACAAAAAGGAAUACAUGAAUAAUAAAACUGCAAGGCUUCCUUUCGUACAUAUAUGCAAAAAAAUACGAGUUCCAUUUACAAGUGCUCUUUGAAAGCACUAUACGCAGAAAAGGAAGGCCUAAUCUACAUCCCCCUCGGGGACUAUGGCCCAUCGACCUCUUUCUCGCUAUCUUCGGCAUUAGACAGGAGGAGCUUAGCAUCAUAUUCUUCCGCCUUCGCCUACUUUAUCUCUUCCGAGAGAUCGAAGCCCCUAGCAUGGAUCUCCUCGAGGGUUUUCCUUCGAGAUUUACACCGAGCAUAUUCCUUGCUCCUGCCCUCGUAGUCAAGCGUCCUCCUCAACUCAGCUUGAGCAUCGGCAGAAUCCUUCAAGUAGACCGCCACUUUCUUGUCAGCCUUUGUUUGGCUCAUUACGGCUUAAGCCCGGGCAUCCACAACCUUGGCCUUUAUCUUCAAAAGCUUAGACUCGAGCUUUGGAAUCAUAUCUCUUCGAACUAAGCUAUUAUCACGAGCUAAGAGAAGUUGAACCUCAAAAGCGGAGGCUUUAGCCAGAGCACCCUUCAUUCCGAAGGCACUCCAGGUCCUUCGUCUUUUUCUGCAACUAAAAUAAACAAAACAUUGCUCAGGAGCUAGAAGAAGGAACACACACUCCCUCAGAACAAAACUACCUGCUCCUUCAGGAAGCUCUCAUAAUUUGAGCUUUGACUCACCUCAUAACGUAAAUACGUCAACUCAUCUUCUCUUUCAUCGCAAAGAAGCCUAACAGAUUUCUCCCCGUCGACAGUUUUUCGCAAUCUGGCCUCACGGCGAAGCAACUCAAAUUUGAGCUUAUUAAAAACCUGUGGAAGAGUAACAUGGUAAGAAAGUGAAAAUUACAAAACUAUAAAACCAAUAUGAACGGCCUGAACCUACCUCCGAGUAAAGCCGCUGAGCUUCCUCAAGAGUUGAGCAUAUAUCUACUGGCCUAGAUCCAUCUACCCAUAUCUACUUGGUGUCGAACAUCUCUCGAAGUGGCUUCGACAGGAGAAGAAGCCAGCGGCAUAGAACCUUCGAGUGCUGCAGGUUCAGCUAAAAUGCCCUCUCUAAGCCUCCGGUCCGGACUCGUCUUGCUACAAUCACUGUCAUCCUGCAAAGGCCUCUCCUGCUUAUUGUUAUUAAUAUCAUCCCCCAGUCCUAAAGCCAGAAGUCUUUCUCCCUCUCCUAAAGGGCACGACCUCGCUUUAAAGGACUCCCCAAUGCCUACGAUGACAGAGUUAAUAUGCAGAAAGAAAAAGUGCCCUUCCGAGAGAAGGGGAAGGGAGCAAAUCAUAUAGCACGUACCAUGGUGUUUUGACUCCGACCUAUCCUUAGAUAAAGCUUGCCACUUACGCUCAUUGCAUGUCGAGUAGGUUUCCAUCUUCCGAACCCAAUCCGGUAGAUCGGGAACCUCACCUGACAUCUACAAAAUUGGUGAAGAAAAGGAAAAGAAGGCGCAUUUACAAAGCCUGCUUUCGCCAUAAACAAAACUACUAAGGCACUAGUGUACCACUUAUGUGUAAAAUUUCAUUCCUCACGAAAUGGCAGAAACUCCACUGGAAUAAUAUCAACAGUCCGUACUCGGAUGAAUCAGCUCAUCUACCUCCAAUCUCUAUCUUCUUCAUCAUUAAUACUAUCCGCCAAAAUGACGGAUGCAUCUGUGCCAAAGUGACAUGGUACUUUUGACAGAAGUCGAGCACAACCCUAUCAAGGGGGCCCAAUGUAAAGGGGUAUGUAUACACGUUCAAAAACCCCUCGGCAUGUUCCAUGAUGCUCUCUUCCGGGGAAGGUACCCGCAGUACUUCCUCUUCCCCCCAUCCACAAUCCUUCUUCACCUACUCAAGAAGAUCCUCCUUGAAACAAAAUGCCUAGAGGCGGAACUCCCUUCUCCUUACCGAGCGGACCCCGACAUAGCGGCCAUAACUGUGGUAAAACUAGAGAAUUGAAGCGGGAAUUUGAGCAAGAGAGUUAAAACUAAAAUGAUGAAGGACCUAACGCAGGAAAUGAGAACUAUAUAAAAGAGGAUAACUACUCAGAAUAGCAGAAUCUCCAAAAGGGCAAAGACAACCCUAUAUAUGGAAAAAGCGGCGACCAACCGCCUACCUCAAAGGCCGAUUAAAAAUACUGGCUAAAGCUUUUAUCUAUUUGGAAAGAUAUGCCGGCGGAAUCGCCUUGGUCAUUUCGUAACCGUGCCAUACACUUGACGCCACCAUACGACGUUUCAGGGUUGGGGACCCUGCAUCAACCAAGCCUCAAGAUGGUACUUGAUCUCGAGGACCUCCACCAAAAAGAAGAUAGGCUCCAGGAAGCCGUUGAUAUCAUUACGAGCCUCGAGAUGGUAACCGAUCUCGAGGACCUUUUCCAAAAAGAAUAUAGGCUCCAGGAAGCCAUUGUCAUCAUUAUAGGCCUCGAGAUGGUACCCGAUCUCGAGGACCUUCAACAAAAAGAAGAUAGGCUUCAGGAAGCCAUUGGCAUCAUUAUAGGCCUCGAGAUGGUACCCGAUCUCGAGCACCUUCACCAAAAAGAAGAUAGGCUCUAGGAAGCCAUUGGCAUCAUUACAUGCCUCGAGAUGGUACCCGAUCUCGAGGACCUUCACCAAAAAGAAGAUAGGCUCUAUGAAGCCAUUGAUCAUUACAGGCCUCGAGAUGGUACCCGAUCUCGCGGACCUCCACCAAGAAGAAGAUAUGCUCUAAGGGUCCAUUAAUAUCAUUGCGAGACUCGAGAUGGUAACCUAUCUUGAGGGCUCUUCUCUCAACAAGAGGAUAAACUCUAAGAACCUACUCAUACGGGCUUGGCCUUGAGGUACCAACCAAACCCGGGUAAGCCCUCAUCCGGGAUCUAUCUGCAACUCCUUAAGGCUUUCUACACUAAGUUCAAAGCAAGUCUCCAGGUGUCACACCUCCUUUUUACUACACUCGUAAGGGUGUAAGGGAGUUUUUCCCAAUUUAAGUGACAAUCAAAACGAGAUUUAUUUAUUUAUUCAGAGUCGCCACUUGGGAUAAUUUAUGGUGUCCCAAGCUACCGGUUUAGAAUCCCGAAUCGAGGAAAGUUUGACUUUGUUUUAUAGUCCGCGAACACAGAAAUCCGGGUGAGAAAUUCUGUUAACCCGAGAGAAGGUGUUAGGCAUUCCUGGGUUCCGUGGUUCUAACACGGUUUCUCAACUGUUAUUAUUGGCUCAAUUAUCUGAUUUUAUACAUUUUUAAAACCUGCGUGCAUUUUUAACUUUCUAGACACUUUUAUUUAUUUAAAAAAUUAAUCCAAGGUUAUUUAAAACACAUCGCGAGCCACACUACAUGAAAUGCACCCGUGAGUCACGACACAUUCUAUUCAACUUCGUUGGAAAUUAGAACCGGACCACAUGAAAUGUACCCCCGGAUUUUAGAUAAAAGCUAUUAUAAUUAUAUAAUUAACGCUCCUAAAGCAAGCUACAAAGUUCAUUUUUAAUACUUAAGUUGUAAAAUUAAUAUUAGGUCCAUAGGAGAUUUAAUAGAUGGCACGCCUCAAUUCACUUUUAAGAGAUUAUGCUUAGCCAAAGUCACCUAAAGAUACUUGAAUUUUGCGUAAAUUGAGUUCUAUCUAACAUUACUAAAAUCAGCCUACACAGAAUACCACAAAUCCAUCGACAAAACUAUAACGUAACAAAACUAUAAUACAAUACCACAAAUUGUUGUCCCUUUACUUGAAAAUUACGUACCAAGUGUUAUAACUAUAACUAAUUUACAUGCGCAUAUUACCUUUCAAUCUUUAGCUUAAUCAGUUAACAUUGGAUUCAUUUUAAACUAUAUUCUGAGAUUGCAAAUAGUAUGUCGCAAUUUUCCAUUUUUAACAAAUCAAAAAAAGUACUCUAAACAAAAUUAAGCAAAGUAAUUAUUCUGUUGAACAUUGCAAACAAAAUCCCAGAUACUAGUAUACCAAUUUCGAGAAUAGAAAUUCAUUCAAACCAAAAGCACCAAGGUAGAACACCCAAAAUUCUUGAAUUAAUUAAAGAAAAGAGAUAAAAGGAACCUCAAACAAAGUAUUGCCUGUCACGAGAAUCUCCAACUUUACAAUUUCUGUUUGGACGCAAAAUUGCUACGGCAAGGAACGACGACCGGAACCUCAACGAAACAAACUCGACUCUUCAACGAUGACUGAAACCAGAUUGGACUGAACUCAACAAUGAGUUCAACAAUCAACAACAACAAAUUUUCAACUUCAACAGCUUUUGGGAACAGAUAUCAAUUGAAGUUUUCGAAUGGCAGAAUUCCGAUCUCAGUUGCUUCUGUUCGUUCCUAUAUCUAUCUUUGUGUGUGUGUGUUUUGUUCCCCACUCUUUCAGUUUCGUUCCCUCUUUUCUCGAUUGAAAGUCGGUUGCUUUGGGGCUUUUUGUGAUCUAGAAUUUUAUCACUCUAUGUUGCGCUGGAAAAUGUAUAGAUUGAUAUGGGCGGUUGAUUUUGCUCCUAAGUUAGGGGUCCUUCAUUUUUGUUCUUUUCUUCGAUCUUUUUCAGAGAAGCGGCGGAUGUUCUCCUUUUGUGUGUUUUAG